CGCUGUGAGGCGGGCCAGGGGCGGAUUGCUGUUCCCGGUGAGGCAGGGCGGCGGCCCGGCUGCAGCUCCCGGUUCUGCCCCGGGUAGGGAUCAGGUGCUUCCCAGCGCACUGGAGCUGGCGGAGGGUGAAACACCUGGGAGGGGAGCGUCGGUCAUUGAGGGCGCGGUGCUCUCAGGGCAGAAUGCGGUCAGAGCCGGCGCAGACAAGCCUUUCAGCCAUCACUUUAGAAAUGCCUCAGAAGAGUGGCAGUGGUUGUGUUCACAGUAAUGAGAUUUGAUCUGCCAGCUGAAGGCCAGGAGAUGAACCUACUGAACAGCCUGCCUGCCUCAAGAGCAAUUCUGUAGCAUCAGGUCAGAGGUACGCUUCUUCUAUCUGGAGUUAUUAACACC